GGGGCUGAUUCUGGAUUCGACGGGAUUUGCGAAGCCCAAGGAGCAUGCCGAGGGGCGGUUUGCCUCGUAAAAAGCCGCAAAAAAAUAGUCGCAAACGACGAAAACUACGC
rnacentral:tmRNA from 1 species